UACAGAGGUCCCAAGCGUUGUUCGGAUUCACUGGGCGUAAAGGGUGCGUAGGCGGUCGGGUAAGUCUGAUGUGAAAUCUCACAGCUUAACUGUGAAACUGCAUUGGAUACUAUCCGGCUCGAGGAAUGGAGGGGAGACUGGAAUACUUGGUGUAGCAGUGAAAUGCGCAGAUAUCAGGAGGAACACCGGUGGCGAAGGCGGGUCUCUGGGCCGAAAUUGACGCUGAGGAGCGAAAGCGUGGGGAGCAAACAGG
rnacentral:rRNA from 1 species